GUCCUGAGUCAUGCAGAAGACACUGAAUUACCCUGCUGCAGACAAGCAGCCACCUGGUUCCACACUACAAAGAUGCAGAGAACACCAGACCACCAGACCAAGAUAAAGGGGGCAGAGAAGGAAGAGAUUCAUUUCAGGGCAGCACAUUGCUGUGUGAAAGAACUACAUUUCCCAGUCCAUCUUGAAGCUGAUGUGAUCAUGUGACUGAGUUUUAGUCAGUGAGAAACAAGCAAGAAUAUGGGAGUCUAAAGUGGAAAAUGGCAGCCUCUCUUUGGUCCUAUUCCCUUCCUGCUACCUGGAAUAUGGAUGAAAUCACAAGAGCUUCAUAUGUUUGCAAAUUGUGGCCCUUUGCUAAGUGACUGAAAGAACAUGGA
ensembl:lncRNA